rnacentral:lncRNA from 1 species
GGAGAUCUUCAUCACCCCGCCGACGACCCCGGGGCUCUUCCAACACUGGGCGGGCUCUUCAAAACCUUGACGUUGACGAUGAUGAUGAUGAUGAAGAUGAUGAUGAUGAUGAUGAUGAUGAAGAUGAAGGCUCUUCCAAUGACGAUGAUGAAGAUGAUGAAGAUGAUGAUGAAGAUGAUUAUGAU